GAGAGAGAGCUCUUCUGCUACCCGCAGGUGGUUGCUUCUUGCAGAAGGAUCUCUGUGAAUUUUUUUUUCCUAUUGCCUGUUGAUAUAAAAGAAUAGUUAUAAAGAAAAGAAGAAAUUGCAGAUUUCAAUAACAAUAUUAAAAAAAAAAAAAAUGAAGGGGUUUCGUGGAGAGAACCUUAUGUAGAGCCCCUAAAUUCCCCUAUUAGAUUCCAUCUUCUCUUAACGUGAUUGCUAUCUAUUGCUUUGAUUUAUCCAGUUCAAAAUUCUCAGAAGAAAAAUUCGCUUCUUUGGUCUCAGAAUUUUUUUUUUCUUUUGAUCGCCCCGUAGCUGUUUUUGUUCGUUUUAGGUUUUGUUCUGAGCAUCGUGGGAGCACGAUUGGGGCUUUUUUGGGUGUAAUCAUUGGUGGGUAAUUUGGGAUUCGGUCACACCUUCGUGAUUUUGACGUUGGGUCGGUGAUGCUUAGGGUUUUCAACAAAUAUUUUGGUGGUUCUGUUGUGAACGGGUGGCUUUUGAUGAGUCGCGCUGUGGAUUUUUGCUAAAUUUGGGUAUUUUGGAGGAUUUGGGUGUAAAGUCUUAGGUUUUUGGAUAAAAUCUCUGGAGGGUGUGGUUUGGGAGGGGGCAUUCCUUUUUUUUUUUCAGAUUCUUGUGGUCAGUCGAUAACUACUGGUGUUCUGUCGAUUCAAUUCUUGGUGUGUUUACGGAAUAUUGGAUGUUUCGGCAGAUUUCUGUAGUGGGGUGGUGAAAAAUCAAGGAUUAAAGCUCUAAAGAGGGGUAAUCCUCCCAUUUGGUUUUAACUCGGAGUUUAUCACGAUUGAUUGAAUUGUUUCGACCAUAUCUUUGGGUUCGAUAGGCCUUGUGUGGGGUUGUAACUAAAAUUCUGCUGUAGGGGUGGUGAAUUUUUUAUUCUCUUGUAUUUUGUGGUGGGCAAUUCUGCAUCUAAGGAUAAGAUGAGUUCAAGCGUUACUGAAGGUUCGGUUCAUGAGGGUAAGCUUCUAGUCCACAUAGCAGAAAAUGGCCACUCCUUUGAGCUUGAUUGUGAUGAAGCAACCCCUGUGGAGGCAGUUAUGCGGUAUAUUGAAUCAGUCGCAGGGAUUAAUUUCAAUGAACAGCUUGUUUUGUGUUUGGAUAUGAAACUCGAAUCCCAGCGGCCUCUUUCUGCUUAUAAGCUUCCAUCCAGUGAUGGAGAUGUGUUUAUAUUCAAUAAAGCUAGGCUCCAAAAUAGUUCCCCUCCCCCUCUACCUGAGCAAUUUGAUAUUCUUGAAGUUGCAGAUCCUCCACCACCAGCAUGUCCACAUGAUCCCCACCCCUUAGACGACGCAUUGGACCCCGCUUUGAAGGCUUUGCCUUCUUAUGAGAGACAAUUUAGGUACCAUUACCAUAGGGGUCAUGCGAUAUACAGUAGAACUCAUGUGAAGUAUGAGCAUUGUGAGAGGUUAUUGAGGGAGCAGAAGGUGCAGGAGAGAGCAGUUGAGGUUGCUAGGGGUAAUUUGGAUCAAUAUUAUAGGAUGAUUAGUCAGAAUUACUCAGAAUUCAUGAAGCGCUAUAGGCAGCAGCACAGGAUGCAUUCUGAACUCCUAAUGAAUUACAGGAGGGAUUUAGAAAAACUGAGGUCUACCAAGCUUCAUCCAGCUUUACAGACCACUACACAGAAGUGUUUAGUGGAUUUUGUGAAGGAAGAAAACCUGAGGAAAGCUGUCGAGAACUGUAGCAACUCCCAUAGACAGUUUGAGAAGAAGGUUUCGGAGUUUAAGCAGACGUUUAGUGACGUAAAGCGCAAGGUGGGGGAGUUAUUUGCUUGCAGGACUCCCUUUCCUCUUAGGAAUUUAGAGCUAGCCAUCAAGGAGCGUAAGCGAUUCAUCAAUGAACAGAAGAGUAUAAUGCAAUCUUUAAGCAAAGAUGUAAAUACGGUAAAGAAACUUGUGGAUGAUUGUCUGUCCUGCCAAUUGUCCUCCUCACUGCGCCCUCACGAUGCAGUUUCAGCCCUGGGUCCCAUGUAUGAUGUACAUGACAAGAAUCAUUUGCCUAAGAUGGAGGCUUGUGGUUGUUCAAUUACCAAACUUCUUGAGUUCUGCAAGGAUAAGAAGAAUGAGAUGAACAUCUUUGUGCACAAUUACAUGCAAAAAAUAGCAUAUAUUUCUUAUAAAAUUAAAGAUGCUAAGUUCCAGUUUCCAGUUUUUAGAGAAGCAAUGGUGCGCCAGGAUGAUCUGUUUACUGAACUGAAGCUGGUUCGAGGGAUUGGUCCUGCAUAUAGAGCUUGCCUUGCAGAAGUGGUAAGAAGAAAGGCCUCCAUGAAACUUUACAUGGGCAUGGCUGGACAGUUGGCUGAAAGGCUUGCUACCAAGAGGGAGACUGAGGUUAGGAGACGGGAAGAGUUUCGAAAAGCACAUAGUUCAUAUAUACCAAGGGAUAUAUUAGAUUCAAUGGGCUUGUAUGAUAUUCCAAGCCAGUGUGACGUCAAUAUUGCUCCUUUUGACGCAAAUUUGCUUAAUAUUGAUAUCUCAGACCUGGACCAUUAUGCGCCUGAGUAUUUAGUGGGACUACCUUUAAAGAGUGAGAAGCAUGCAAGCUUGAAAGGCUCAUUUUCCAUGUCUAAUGACAGUUCUCAUUCUGCUGAGGGGGAAGAGAUGGUUGCAGACACUCUUGACAAAGACUAUUCUGAGGAGCUUCUUGAAGGCAGUGAGUUGGUAGAGAUUGCUGGAACUAGCAAGCUGGAAGUUGAGAAUGCAAAACUGAAAGCUGAACUUGCUUCUGCAAAAGCGCUUAUAUGUACCCUCAGCCUUGAAUAUGAGUCAGUGGAUGAUGAAAAAGUGGAUAGUUUGUUGAAGAAUGCUGCAGAGAAGACAGCUGAAGCCUUGCAGCUGAAAGAUGAGCAUGGGAAGCAUCUCCAAUCUAUGCUUAAGGCAAAGCAACUGCAAUGUCUGUCAUAUGAGAAGCGUAUCCAAGAAUUAGAGCAGAGAUUGUCUGAUCAGUUUCUGCAGGAGCAAAAACUUUCAAGCAGCAAUGUUGCAUCUGAUUUUGACCUUCCAGCUGCAAAGGCUGAUGACAGCAAACCGCAAAUCCAUGGUGAUAUGCAAGCCCAUGUGCCUUAUAUAUCAACUUCAGAGCCCAUGGAUGAGGUUUCUUGUAUUUCUAGUUCUUUGGAUGCAAAACUAGGACUUUUCACAAGGCAACCAAGUAAAGUUCGAGAUGGGGGUGACGAAAAUAUGAUGGAUACCUCUGGAAUGCUAAAUACUCAGUUGGAUUCUCUAAUGAUGGAGCCACAUCGUGAAGAACUGCAAGUUGCUGAUAAAGAUGGGAAAGAUAAAAUGGUGAGACAAAUGGGCAUGUCAUUGGCAAGCAGUUCCACAGCUGAGAGUAUGCCUGAAGCUGUAAAUGUGUUACCUACUGAUGCUGCAGUUGAUCCUAAGAUCACUUGUGAUAUUGUGUUGGAAUUGCAAAGUGCACUUGUAGAAAAAUCAAAUCAAUUGAGUGAAACUGAAUCCAAGCUCCAAGCUGCUAUGGAGGAUGUUGCAGUACUUACUAGGGAAUUGGAAAUGAGUCGGAAGCUUCUUGAUGAAUCUCAGAUGAAUUGUGCUCACUUGGAGAAUUGUUUGCAUGAAGCAAGAGAGGAAGCCCAAACCCAUCUUUGUGCAGCUGAUCGGAGGGCCUCAGAGUAUAGUGCCCUGCGUGCAUCUGCUGUGAAAAUGCGUGGCCUUUUUGAAAGACUUAGGAACUGUAUAUAUGGCCCGAGUGGAGUUGCUGGUUUUGCUGAUUCCUUGCGUGCGUUAGCUCAAUCUUUGGGCAAUUCCAUUAAUGACAAUGAAGAUGAUGGUACUGCUGAGUUUCGAAAAUGCAUCCGGGUUCUUGCAGAUAGAGUUGGUUUCUUGUCUAGGCAUCGCGAGGAGCUGCUUGACAAGUACCCAAAACUGGAAGCUGCAAAUGAACAGCUUAAAAAGGAGUUGGAAGAAAAGAAGGAGCUGGUUGCCACUUUAUAUAAAAAGCAUCAACUUGAGAAGCAGGCAAACAAAGAAAGGAUAUCUUUCGGGCGGUUGGAAGGUCAUGAGAUAGCUGCAUUUGUUCUCAAUUCAGCUGGGCAUUAUGAGGCAAUCAACCGAAAUGGUUCUAACUACUAUUUGUCUUCUGAAUCUGUGGCGUUGUUUACUGAUCAUCUUCCAAGGCGUCCCAGCUACAUUGUUGGGCAGAUUGUGCAUAUUGAACGCCAGAUUGCGAAGCCAUUGCCUCCUAGCGCAGCCAGGCCUGAGCAUGGUAGGGCAGAUCAAGUGGAUCAUCUUACUUGUGACACAGGAACUGAUCAAUUGACCCUGAAUUUGGGAUCAACCUCAAAUCCAUUCAGUCUUCCCAUUGGUUGUGAAUACUUCGUAGUGACAGUAGCUAUGUUACCUGAUACCACCAUUCGUUCACUACCUCCUUCCUGAUCCCUGCUUCAGGCAGAUAAGACGUGAUGGAAGAAAUCAAGUGUAUAUAUAUAUAAUUAUAUAUAAAUAUUGGAAAAAAUGAUGGAAAGCAAACUUCUCUUUCUUUUUGUACAGUUGAUCAUCCAAUUACGUUUAAUCUUUCCUUUGUGUAUAAAGCUACUCUAUUUAACCAUGUAAAAAAAUGUGAAUAUUUUAUCAAUCUCUUGAAUUUUAAUCGAUCUUGCUCGUUAACUUGCUUCAACUUGAGUUGAUGGAAGAGAGUUUUUAGCCCAUUCACCAAAAG
rnacentral:misc_RNA from 1 species